UACGGAGGGGGCUAGCGUUGUUCGGAAUUACUGGGCGUAAAGCGCGCGUAGGCGGACCUGCAAGUCGGGGGGUGAAAGCCCGAGGCUCAACCUCGGAACUGCCUUCGAUACUGCGGGUCUCGAGUCCGGGGAGAGGUGAGUGGAAUUCCUAGUGUAGAGGUGAAAUUCGUAGAUAUUUAGGGAAGAACACCCAGUUGGGCC
rnacentral:rRNA from 1 species